UACGUAGGUGGCAAGCGUUGUCCGGAAUUACUGGGCGUAAAGCGUGCGCAGGCGGUUGGCAAAGUCAGCUGUGAAAGCCCCGGGCUUAACCUGGGAAUGGCGGUUGAAACUAGUCGACUAGAAUCUGGCAGAGGGGGGUGGAAUUCCACGUGUAGCAGUGAAAUGCGUAGAGAUGUGGAGGAACACCGAUGGCGAAGGCAGCCCCCUGGGCUGAGAUUGACGCUCAGGCACGAAAGCGUGGGGAGCAAACAGG
rnacentral:rRNA from 1 species